UAAUGUAUCGGAACGUGCCCAGUCGUGGGGGAUAACUGCUCGAAAGAGCAGCUGAUACCGCAUACGACCUGGGGGUGAAAGCGGGGGAUCGCAAGACCUCGCGCGAUUGGAGCGGCCGAUAUCAGAUUAGGUAGUUGGUGAGGUAAAGGCUCACCAAGCCGACGAUCUGUAGCUGGUCUGAGAGGACGACCAGCCACACUGGGACUGAGACACGGCCCAG
rnacentral:rRNA from 1 species